rnacentral:rRNA from 1 species
GACGAACGCUGGCGGCAUGCCUAAUACAUGCAAGUCGAGCGAACAGAUGAAGUGCUUGCACUUCUGACGUUAGCGGCGAACGGGUGAGUAACACGUAAGGAAUCUACCUAUAAGCGGGGGAUAACAUUCGGAAACGGGUGCUAAUACCGCAUAAAAUCUUCUUCCGCAUGGAAGAAGAUUGAAAGACGGCUCUGCUGUCACUUAUAGAUGACCUUGCGGUGCAUUAGGUAGUUGGUGGGGUAACGGCCUACCAAGACGAUGAUGCAUAGCCGACCUGAGCGGGUGAUCGGCCACAUUGGGACGGAGACACGGCCCAAACCCCUACGGGAGGCAGCAGUAGGGAAUCUUCCGCAAUGGGCGAAAGCCUGACGGAGCAAUGCCGCGUGAGUGAAGAAGGCCUUCUGGUCGUAAAACUCUGUUAUAAGAGAAGAACAAAUUGUAGAGUAACUGCUACAGUCUUGACGGUAUCUUAUCAGAAAGCCACGGCUAACUACGUGCCAGCAGCCGCCGUAA